rnacentral:tRNA from 1 species
GCCUCUGUAGCUCAGUGGAGUAGAGCACCGGUUUACGGCACCGGGUGUCGGGAGUUCGAAUCUCUCCAGGGGUAC